rnacentral:rRNA from 1 species
UACGGAGGGUGCGAGCGUUAAUCGGAAUUAUUGGGCGUAAAGAGCGCGCAGGUGGUUGAUUAAGUCUGAUGUGAAAGCCCACGGCUUAACCGUGGAGGGUCAUUGGAAACUGGUCGACUUGAGUGCAGAAGAGGGAAGUGGAAUUCCAUGUGUAGCGGUGAAAUGCGUAGAGAUAUGGAGGAACACCAGUGGCGAAGGCGGCUUCCUGGUCUGUAACUGACACUGAGGCGCGAAAGCGUGGGGAGCAAACAGGAUUAGAUA